UUUUCUCUCUCUUUCUCUCAAAAAGAUUCAUGUAUGAAGGUCUAGCCUCAUCCACAUCUCCAUUAUCAUUCAUCCAUUCUCCUCCCCUACGCAGUUAUUAAAGAAUUUUCAUGGUCUUUUUGUUUGGAAAUGAUCCAAAUAGAGCCCAUCCUUUCGGAGAUGUUCCUGCUUCAUUUUGCUUGGAUUCUAAAUUAUUAAGAAAAAUCAUUCAUCAGAUUAAAUGAUCUGUCGAAAGUGGAGUUGCAUCUCAAAAAGGGAGGAAGAUAAAAAAACUGAACAUUACCGCACAUUUUUGUAAGACUAAAUUGGAUGGGAUCAUAACCCUCCACUGGUGUAGUUAGGUGAACCUCAUACGGGUCAUCACGUGUCGUUUGACCUGAAUAUACAUCAUGAAUUC
rnacentral:lncRNA from 1 species